GUGCUUGACUCAGCAGCACGCCUACUCAAAUUGGAAGGCAACAGAGAAGAUUAGCAUGGCCCCUGCACAACAAGGAUGACAUACAAAUUUGUGAAGUGUUCCAUAAAAAA